rnacentral:rRNA from 1 species
CCUACGGGAGGCAGCAGUGAGGAAUAUUGGUCAAUGGACGAGAGUCUGAACCAGCCAAGUAGCGUGAAGGAUGACUGCCCUAUGGGUUUUAACCUUCUUUUAUAAGGGAAUAAAACGAGGCACGUGUGCCUUUUUGCAUGUACUUUAUGAAUAAGGAUCGGCUAACUCCGUGCCAGCCGCCGCGGUAAUACGGAGGAUCCGGUCGUUUUCCGGAUUUAUUGGGUUUAAAGGGAGCGUAGAUGGUUUGUUAAGUCAGUUGUGAAAGUUUGCGGCUCAACCGUAAAAUUGCAAUUGAUACUGGCAGUCUUGAGUACAGUUGAGGUAGGCGGAAUUCGUGGUGUAGCAGUGAAAUG